CCACGUUGGUUCUAGUGAAUGCAGUAAGGCGGUAUUUGAGUUAUAUUUUAGAAGUGCCUAGACAAAAUGUGCUCCUUGUCGUGUGCAGUAACCAUCGCAAACCCUCCGGACUCGUGUAACGCCGUUAGUUCGCCGUGUGUUUCGUGCGAUCUAUCAGUGUCGACAGUGAGUGUCUUACUACAGCGCCCGUCCGAGCUGCCUUUGUUCUGCCGAGCUGCCUGCCCGCGCUCUCGUGAAAAGUCUGGUACUGGAGCUUCGAAUCGUAGUGUAUGGAAGGCUGUUGAAGGUUGUGCUUUUGUGGAGCUGGAGUUCAUCGGAAGUUCUACAGUGCUUGCGCCAGAAAGACGUCGGUGCCUCGGUACCUUUGAGACGAAGGAGCGUUGGCCAAGUCUUUUUGAAAGGCUAUGCGGAUUCUGGAGGCAUCCCUGCAUCGAGCAGGAACCUGCUGCACUGCUGGAAGCUGGACAGCACGACAAUAAAGCACGUGAUCUGUGCGCUUUCUCAAAGGUAGACAUCGGCGACGGUGUAUAUGUUGAAAAGGGCCUGCUGAAGAGGCUGCGCCUGGAUGCUAACAACUCGGGCUUUCAGUUUGCGGGGGGCCUCCUUAAGGCUCCUUUUACAAAAGAAGAGGUUGAAGGGAGGCGCUACACAUGGAUGCGCAGCGAUUGUUUGUGACAGCGUCACUGCUGGCAGGCCUGGCCUGCCUUUUCGCUUUGUUCUGGGUCUUCCACGUUAUCUACUCGAAAAAGGCCCACAGGAUUUUGACAUUUAUUGAGCACUGCUUUCUGGAUUUUUGCUACACAAAGCCGCAGGUGAAAGCAUUGGAUUUAGUCAAUUUUUACAAGAACUAUUGCUAGGCAAAAAAAUUUUCAGAUGCAUAUCCUCAAGAAAGUUUCUGUCAAAAUUAUUUUGCCUAACAAAAGCACUCGUGGGUUCUGUGGCUGACAGGUUGCCCAAGCCAUGUAGCACAGUGCUUGCUUUAAAGGGACACGAAAAAGAAAAUUUAUUUGAGCUUUAUUAAAUCAUUCUUCUACAACACCGAAAAAACAACUCCCACCAUGAGAAUUGGCUUGAUAAGCCAGAUAACUUGCAAAAACGAAAACUGGUGUCGCCACCACCACCUUAUAGUUCCUGCACCAGCUCGCUGUGAUAUGGAAUUUGACGGUGUCUGUUCGGGUCUAGCUAAUGUUCUACUGGCCAAUAUUGAUGAAUUCUGUUGUAAAGGUGUCAAAGAAUAUACUUAGUUGAAGUAUGACUCCACACUGAUGUGCGGGCACUGCAUAAAACUUGAAAAAUGAAAGUUAAAUCUUCAUUUUCUCAUCUAAUAAUCCGCUUAUUGCCACAAUGUUCAUGAAUACAGUUCUGAAAGAUUGUUUUAUCAGUCUAAAAUGAUUUACUGUUUCACUUUAGUAUUUCUGUAAUGGACCUUCAGCAACAAAAUGUGUGUUAGUAUUCCACAGGUAUUCUCAGCGGGGGCAAAAGCACCAGCAGCAUGCUCAAUGAUUCUGUACCAACUGAUAACUUGAAGGAUAUCCUGUGCCACUAGGGUUAGGCCAACGUGGCUCUGUGUUAAUCACCACAAGUGUAUUAUGCAAAACUUAAUGGCCCAGAAAUUGGUAAUUCAGGAGGGAGUUGAAUUAGCUAUUUUUUUUCUUUAUCAUGGACUUCUCACAUUACACUUUGUCACAACGCAUUCACUUUAAAGUAACUGUGGAGAAUAAGGUGGUUUGGUAUUCAGACAUGCCUUCUGUGUGUAAACAGUGUUAGAUGAGCAAUACAAAGAUACACCAUAGAUGCUGACUGGCAACAUGAAGGGGUUUGAGGGCAGCUACAAAUAUACAUCCUUGUAGUCGUACCUAUAGCACCAUGUUCAAUUUGUCACACAAGCAUAUGGCAUCCAUCACAACUGCAUGCCUAGAAACGGACAAGGGCAACACACUCAAUUCCCUUUUAGUCUAUCUAAGAAGCACUACAAUUUUUAGGCAACGAAAUUGAAAUCUGGCUUGUACCCAUAAGUACUGCAAUACAGUUGUGCAACGUGUUCCUCUUGUGUGGAAAAAGGGCUGCAUAUGUUUUCUUUGAGCACAAGGGGGAGUGGUAUCAGUUAGAGCCCCUCCAUCCACGUGCCACUGCCGCUUUCUUAAGUAGCGACAACCUUUGUUGUGCGCCGCCUUUUCCCCUCACACCAAAUCCGGUUCCAGCAUUUCCAGUUUAAAAGUUUCCGGUUCCGGCGUUACCGCUUCCUGAAGUUGUGCUGCGGGAAUUUCCGCUUUGACUGCCGAUGGUGAGACGCCCACGCGUGCUUAGCAGAGCUGUGGGAGUCACCAUGAGAAGAAUGCAAAGGCGACAAGCUGUUGUAUUCCGCUGAAGUAGUAAUUCGUGGUCGCUGUUUUCUAAAUGCACGAAAAACGGCAGUGGUCUCCAAGCGCCCAGGCACUACAUUCCACUGUACGUUGUCUCUCGUGGCACAACCCGUCGCAGGUUGACGCGAAACAGCGAACACGAUCAGAUCGCUGAUUGCAAUAGGCGGUGGUACUUGGAUGGAAUCGCAUUCACAGUUUAAACCGCAGCUGGUGCAAUUAAAGCCUCUCCAUCGACGCGAAAGUAAACAACGUUAAGAAAAACAUAGCGUUACUUCCACUCGGAACAGGAAGCUGCAGCUACGGAAAUUCCGCUUGACACCGGAAGCUAAGGGGGUGAGUGGCAGAGGAGCGUGGAGGAAGAGGGUAGGUUGGCGGUACUUAACCUGGUCGGCGGAAACGUGUAUGGAGGGGCUUUAGUAUCAGUUAAUGGCUGUUUUCACAUAUAUGUUUUGUCGUGUGUAUUAGCAAUCACCAUUUUCCUUAUCUGAGUGAGGUCAUUUUUUAGAAAGUUUGAAAGUUUAUAGAACAUGUUGCUCAUGGUUGUUGCAGUUUUCUUCCUAACUAUCCAUUCAUUGCACUGUGCACCCAUGUCUUGGGCAACUAGCUGUUUGAAGGUCAGUAUGCUAUCGAUGGGUCUAAUGGUAAUCUCUAGUGCCCUCUCAUUUGCUUGUUGCAAUACUGAAGAGUUUUGUAUAUUGUGUCACUUGUUUAUUUUCACUGUACUUUAGUUUCACUACAUCUUGAAUGUGUUGUGAUAGUUUUUCUUUUGCAAUGAAAGAUAUGGUGGACAGUUGCCAACACUAAUGUGAUAGUAUGAAUGCUUGCUGUAUUUAUCACGAUUGUUUCAUUUCGCUGGGGCACUAAUGGUCAUUAGCAGCAGAUGCUAGCUGCCCUUAAGUGCAAUGUUUUUAUGU